rnacentral:snoRNA from 1 species
GCUUUACACUUGAUCUCUGAGCUUUCAGGUAAGUAAUAUGCUGACCAGAACUCUCUGCUGAUGCA